GUCUGGAUAGCUCGGUUGGUUAGAGCAUGGUGCUGAUAAUUCCAAGGUUGCAAGUUUGAUCCCUGUAUGAGACA